rnacentral:rRNA from 1 species
UGAAGGGUGAUCGGCCCACCUGGGAAUGGAACACGGCCCAGAUUCCUACGGGAGGCAGCAGUAGGGAUCUUCCGCAAUGGACGAAAGUUUGACGGAGCAACGCCGCGUGAGUGAUGAAGGUUUUCGGAUCGUAAGCUCUGUUGUUAGGGAAGAACACACCCGUUCGAAUAUGGCGGUACCCUGAAGGUACCUAACCAGAAAGCCACGGCUAACUACCUGCCAGCAGCCGCGGUAAUACCAAGGUGGCAAGCGUUGUCCGGAAUUAUUGGGCGUAAAGGGCUCGCAGGCGGUUUCUUAAGUCUGAUGUGAAAGCCCCCGGCUCAACCCGUGAAGGCCAUUGGAAACUGGGGAACUUGAGUGCACAAGACGAGAGUGGAAUCCACGUGUAGCGGUGAAAUGCGUAGAGAUGUGGAGGAACACCAAUGUCGAAGGCGACUCUCUGGCCUGUAACAGACACUCAAGAGCGACAGCGUGAGGAGCGUACAGGAUUAGACCCCUGGUAGUCCACGCCGUAAACGAUGAGUGCUACUGUUACGGGGUCCCCCCCUUAGUGCUGCAGCUAACGCAUUAAGCACUCCGCCUGGGGAGUACGGUCGCAAGACUGAAACUCAAAGGAAUUGACGGGGGCCCGCACAAGCGGUGGAGCAUGUGGUUUAAUUCGAAGCAACGCGAAGAACCUUACCAGGUCUUGACAUCCUCUGACAAUCCUAGAGAUAGGACGUCCCCUUCGGGGGCAGAGUGACAGGUGGUGCAUGGUUGUCGUCAGCUCGUGUCGUGAGAUGUUGGGUUAAGUCCCGCAACGAGCGCAACCCUUGAUCUUAGUUGCCAGCAUUCAGUUGGGCACUCUAAGGUGACUGCCGGUGACAAACCGGAGGAAGGUGGGGAUGACGUCAAAUCAUCAUGCCCCUUAUGACCUGGGCUACACACGUGCUACAAUGGACAGAACAAAGGGCAGCGAAACCGCGAGGUUAAGCCAAUCCCACAAAUCUGUUCUCAGUUCGGAUCGCAGUCUGCAACUCGACUGCGUGAAGCUGGAAUCGCUAGUAAUCGCGGAUCAGCAUGCCGCGGUGAAUACGUUCCCGGGCCUUGUACACACCGCCCGUCACACCACGA